rnacentral:misc_RNA from 1 species
AAAAGAAAAAAAAAACAAAAAAAAUCAACAAACAGAGAAUCGAAAACUGUCUAUGUAAUUUCAGAAUUCACAGAUUAAUUUUGGUAUGUGGGUCUGAUUUUAAAGAAAACUUCCAUGUUAGAUUCAGCCAAAAUACCAAAAAGAAAGAAUCAAAAUUUGUUCAUGACUAUAUAUAUUUCAAGAACCAGUUAGUUGUUGAAAAAAUAGAAAAAGAGAAAUGAAAAAAGCAAAACUAAUCUUUUCUUUCUUGGAUAAGCAAGAAAAUAAAGCAAAAUUUUAAUACAUACAG